UUUUAUGGAGAGUUUGAUCCUGGCUCAGGACGAACGCUGGCGGCGUGCCUAACACAUGCAAGUCGAACGGUUUUUGGACGUUGGACUUUGGACGUUAGAGGUUGGAAAAAGCAAAAAAAGAUUUGAUCCAACAUCCAAUAUCUAAAGUCCAGCGUCCGGAAAUAGUGGCGAACGGGUGAGUAACGCGUAGACAACCUGCCUUCCAGAUGGGGACAACACCGCGAAAGUGGUGCUAAUACCGAAUAAAGUAUUUUGAGCGCAUGCUUGAAAUAGCAAAGGUGGCCUCUGA
rnacentral:rRNA from 1 species